CUGAAAAAAUCUGCCACGGAAGUCAAUGAAAAACUUACCAUAGAAAUUAGAAUGUAAGACACAGUUAGCAUGUGAUUGCUUUCACAUUGGAAAGCUCAAGAUGCGCGGCCAAUAGAAAGCUAUUUAGCUUCGACAUGGACAUGCAGUGAAUCGGUGGUCAAGCGCGGAAACAAACGUACCAUUAGUUUUGUUUAUUUUCACCAUCAGUAUUCGAGGCUUGUAGUUCAACUAUUUAGUUUGGCAAGGCCCACUAAUGAUCAAUAUGUCCUUCUUAGCAAUUGACCAGUUCAUAGGAUAUUUCAGGACAAUGCAGGCCCGCAUUUGCUUGUUCUCCUUUGUUAGUGUAGAGUGGACGGUCACUUGGCACUGUGGAAGAGACGUGUAUGUUUUGUAUUUUACUGUUGUUGAUAAUAGGAUCAGUUAUAAAAUUCCAAAACAUGAAAGUUUAAUGUUUGAAAAUUGAAACUAUGUAAUAGGUCCACUCAUGGAGGAAUACCAAAGAAAAGUGUACAUAAAAGUCCUAGUAUUGACCGCAAGACAAUUCACAAUAUCACUUUCUGUGUUAAUUUCUACCUUCAAAAUUUCUGAUAUUUACAAUGACCAUUAUGGUUUCUUUAUUACUUUCCGACAAUGUAUACUAUCUUCUAUAUCAGAUUGAAAACUCUGGCACUUCAAA